ACAGGUGAGGCAAAUCAUGGAAAUGCACGAGAAGAACAUCGUGGAAACAACCGGUCUGUUUAUGAUGGAGGAAAUCCUGCAAUACAACAAGUUGUUGGUCGGAUUUGCGAACGAAAAUCCAAGUCACCCGAUCAGGAAGGAAACAGCUUCAUCAACAUCAUCGACAACUUCAUCAGCAACAGCUUCAUCAACAGCUUCAUCAACAACCUCUGUUGCAGUUUCCAUUGCAGAAGAAACCAUCUGAUUCAGCAUCUACCGUACGGUGAGAAACUCCAGAAUUCAUGAUCUACUUGCUGGACGGCAACUGUUAACCAGUUUCUUAUGAGGAAGUACCAAACAGAGGCUCCAUCAAUUUGGUACCAUAGCAUGAGCAUUAGGUUUAUUAUCAUCUUUAUCUAGCAUCAUAAACGUGUUAUACUUUACAGGGAUUCUGUUUGUGAACAAGACUGGCCGCAGGAAUAAUAGAAUGAUAUCAUAAGAGAUGACUUAAUGACUUUAUUGCAUAUUACCCGAGGUCUCAAGUCUGGAAAAGUCGUGUAUUUUUCUCAAAAUGCUUUCAAACUAAAUAUUGUAAGACAAGUGAGAAUUGUCCAUGUAGUUGCAGCAAACAUAUGCAACAUUCACUACAUUACAAUUCAGAGUUUUUUUACACACUAGAGCUCAGGCAUUGUGAAUGAUAUCAUAGAGCUGUAGCUUCCCGGAGAUGAUUUCAAAGUGACAUAUAGGACUAGUGGCUUUGGUGUUAGUGGUUUUGUAACUCUUGCAGAGGGUUGUAAUGAACAUAGACAUGAAAUUUUAGUAGCAUGAUUGUACCUUACGUUAUAUAAUAUUUUCAUCUGAAUAUAGUUUCAUGGAAUUAACCGGAAAAAAAUUACAACAUAUGCCCUUCAACACAUUACAAUUCUGAUGCAGAGAUAAAGAUCCUGAACAUCAUUCCUUUACUUACAUGUACAACACAAUGUGUACACAAUGGCAUUCUAUCUGAAUUGCACCAUCGCAUAAUUUUUACCUUUAUUACCAGUAUAAUGCUAUCAGGUCAAAAGGAUAUGUUAAAAUUAUAGGUGUUCAACUUUGGUGUUUUGCUUUGUAACAACGGUUCUUUACUUGACUUAUGCUAUGGGAAUGGAUGACUGUGUUUCACAAGACUGUAUAUUUCCUUGUGGUAUGGUCUAAGUCUAAACUGUGUGAACAUUUCCAUUUUAAUUUGUUCCUAUAGUGCUUAGGAUCUGCACAUGGGUGUCAUAUUCAGCAAGACAUUCUCAAUACGGAUUAUAUAACCUUUCUUAAAUGUGUAAAUAAAGAUAAUCAUGCAAAUCGAUAACUUUUCGAAAGAGUUAAAAAUGCCUCUAUGAAAAUAGAUGAGGGUUCACGCGCUCCUUUUAGACCCCGGGUGGGACACAACUCUGACUGCAAGUCUGACUUGCUACCUUUUGCAUUCCCCCUCAAAGAUUAUGACAACACACGAUUUUGAAGACAGAUAGAUAAGGUUUUGUAGAACUGUUAUGCCCAAGUAUUGAAGUUACACCCAUUCUUCUGGACGAGACCAAUAACUUUUUUUCAUUUACCCUCAUGUUGAGCUGCUUACCGCAAAAGAAGCCCAAUUGUACAUAUUGUACUGUUUCUUUAGAUCAAGCUGGAAAUAAUGGUCAAUGGUUGUGUACCAGAGAUCUGUUUAAUCUCUGAGAAUUAUGAAUACAUUAUGGCAUUGUUGGUAAACCCAGAAUGAAAAGAACACUCAGAUCAUUGAUAUUUGAAGCCAUAAUUAAUAACAUUGUGCCUUAAUACGAUGCUUGGUAGAUAUCACAU